GUGCAAAAAGUUCCCACUUCUUGGGAAAACAUUGGACUUAGAGACAUGGUAUAGUGCUAGGCAUCCCUCAUACUUAUGGUGAAUGGCUGUCUUCUAAAGGAAAAUAUAAUGGGAAUACUCGUAUUUAAUUCAGUAUGAGAAAUACUUUCCUUUAUGGAUGGCUUUAGCGGUCUUUUUGCAUAUUUGAAAAAUUUUUUUUCCUUCUGGUUGUUUUUGUAAUUAUAUAACUAUAUUAUUGCAUGGGCUUUGGUAGCUUUAGCAGAUUUCAGAGCAAGGGUAUGUUAAAUGACCUAUCCAGCUUUCACUGAAGUUAGUAAAAGGACUUGCUCUGACUCCACCGUGAACUGUAUGUGAUCCUGCUUUACAGAUAACAGACUUAGUUGCCAGAUAUGCAAGGCUCUGUUAUAUCCAAGUUUUCGAAUCAAACUGAGUCAUAUCUUACUGGUGGAGUAGAAGUAUUCCUAAGCCUUAUUUUCAAGCAUUUUGGCUAGUCUAAAUAUUUUUCAUGCAAAGCUUCCUGGACAUGCGGAAUAAUCUGGCCAUCACUGAUCUAGAUACCAUAUUUUUUGGCACUGCUGAUCAGAUCUGUUGUAUUAGACUUUAUUUAUGCUCCCUGUAGUUCUCCAGGUUUUUCAGUUCUUUUACUAACAUUGUGUAUUUUCUUUGUCUUUGCAUCAGAAGGGCAUUUUGCUGCUGCGGUAGAGUCUAAUUAGUGAAUUUUAUUUCAAACUCAUCUCUAAAAUUACCUCUUACAAUAUCAGACUUUAAUGCCCUUUUAAAAGUCUUCAUUCUGAAAACAGCUCAGAGAGCACUAUGAUGGAAAUGUUGGUAAAUGGGAUGGAAUAGAAAAAUGCCGUAGGAGAGAGUUGUUAUUGAUGUCUUUCAGUUAAUGUACUUUAUUAUCUUCAAUUGAAAUCCCUGUGGUUAUCUGAUAUGCUUAUUUUUCUGGAAGGUGUCCUCACAAUAUUUUGUAAAGGUGGUGCUUUUAGGUUUUGCUCAUUGGUAUUAUUUUAAGCUGUAUCUUUGAAAACUAACUUCUGCCUAUUGCUUUUUAGAGGCAGCCCUCUAUCAUAGAUCUCCUAACAACCUGUAAACACCAGUUUUAUAAGAGUCUACAGUUUUGACAGUUGGUUAUGUGAUACCAGACUCUUUUCAAGACUAUUGUAAAUGAAAUGCUUCUUACAAUCUCUGAUUUUUUGCACUUCCAUACAUGUAAGAAAGAGGGCAGGAGUAUUUUCUACAGUUGGACUCUGAAGAGGAAGGCUAUGAAAGGAACGUACAGAGAAAGUCUGGAAUAAGCAGACAGUCAUUUGUAUGGACUAAUAUUGUUCCCUGCUAAAGCUUGCUUAAGUUUGAUACUCACUGUAUUUUUUUUUUCCAGAGGCUGAACUGGAAACUUUUGUGCUUCCACAGUUUAGAACUGAUACUAAGGUGUCAUUAUUAGUAAUCCUAAGCAGUGUCUAUAGGUCUCAGGUAACUUGUGUUCACUUUAUCCUCAGCAUUUAGACAUUUAGUAAUUGCAGUGGGAUGAGAAAAAAAUUAUUAAAUCCACAUGGCUACUUUGUUUUUUUUUCACUGGGAUUUGAAAUGGGAGUUAUCAUAGUCAUUUUUAGCUUAUCAGUCUAAAAAUGAUAAAAAGAACCAGGAAGUGAUUAAAAAGCCAGGAAGAUGUGUGGGAGAUCCCAUCCUGAGCACAAAGCAGAGAAAGAGAGCUGAGAGAGCUCUCCCAGAGCAGCCGCCGAGAGUGAAAGCUUGAUCCCAGGACUUGCAGCUUAGCUUGAGACCUCAGCUCUGAGGGAUGCCAUUAGGGAAGGAGGACGCUGCCAAGUUAGACAUUUACUUCACCGCUGUAGCUGAAGCUGUAGCUGUAGUUUCUCUGCCUUGAAGCAGAGAAACACUUUGGUAGUUAAGAAUACUAUUUUUAAUGAAAUGCAAUUUUAGAUUAUACAUAGUUUACCUUUUUACUUUUUUUUCUUUGUAAUCUUGUUUCCAACUUUAUAACCAAGAAAGUAAUCUUUUGCUUUGUUAGAUGAAAUUUGUUUUCAUUUAUAAGUCAUCUACUGUUAAAAAUGAACAGACCUGACAAACUUAUUUCUCCAGACAAGAUGUAUCCUAGGAAAGCAGGGUGUAAAGCUGUCAAGCAGCAUCGAUCUACAACCUGAGAGAAGGCUGGGCUUUUCUGGAGCUGCGCAUGCCUCCUGCCAACUGGAGGAGUCAGUGUGCACCUGGCAUCAGCUGCUGACUGGUCUAGGAAGAAGUCUUGGCAGACGAGGAACAGGAGGAAUAAAGCAGAGAGCCCUGGGUAAUCCCCCAGAUCAUUGUAUUCUUCUAGCUUCCAGCUUCAGAGAAGCACUUUUUAACCAAUCAUUACAAAUAACUGGUACUAAGGACCCAUGCUACAAGGUGAAGCAUAUAUGCUAUUAAAUGGUCUAUAUUACUUACCUUCUCCUGGCUGAAGGUGCAGUCAUUUGGAAAAAGAAUAAAUGUUUUUGAAAGUG